rnacentral:tRNA from 1 species
GGAAAGGUGGCAGAGUGGUCGAAUGCGCCGGACUCGAAAUCCGGUAUACAGGUCUCCUGUAUCGAGGGUUCGAAUCCCACCCUUUCCGCCA